ensembl:misc_RNA Metazoa_SRP Metazoan signal recognition particle RNA
GCCGGGCAUGGUGGCGGGUGCCUGUAAUCCCAGAUACUAGGGAGGCUGAGGCAGGAGAAUUGCUUGAACCUGGGAGGUGGAGGUUGCAGUGAGCUGAGAUCGCACCACUGCACUCCAGCCUGGGCAACAGAGCAAGACUCUGUCUCAA